GACUAUUUUUUGCUAUGGUUGACUAAAUAUGGUCAGGGAAGAGAGAGGCACAAGAGAGCCUGUUUGCCUGGGAGUGCAUGUUUCAAAUGCUUAGCUGCCUAUAAAGCUGUAACAGUUUAGCCUGUAGCCACUGAGGGAAGAAUUUAAGUUAACAUCUGUAGUGACCAUGUGGAAAUCCUGACCUUGCUUGCAGACUUGACCUCUGGAUAUGACAAGGUGAGAUUCUGUGUUCACUGAUACUUCCCUCUGACUUCACCGACUCAUGAAAAGAAGUGCUGAAUCAGCGGAUUGAGUGAAGGAACAAUCAAGAUGAGAUGGCUGCUGCUGAUGUGACUCUCUAGGUCAUUACCUUUCUUCCUGCUGCAAAUGCUGCAUGACACUAAGCUCACAGGAUCUAGAAGCACACUACAAAAUAAGAAGAAUUUCACUCUGAAGACUCUGAAGAAAUACUAGGCUGAUCUUAUAAACUUCUGAAACACACUGUGUAAAAACUCCACUGAUUCUAUAAAGCUAUUGCAAAAAGGACCAAACCAGGAUAAAGUACAACAGAUAACUGGUCAAUGUUUAGAAGUUUAUGUCCACCAACAAGGAACCAUAAAUGGCAUUAAUGCAAUGCUUCAGGUAAAUUUUUUAUGCAGUUUAGUCUUUGAUUGUCUCUACAAGUGAUCUACCAUUGUUCUACUUCGGUAAGCUGAAUGUUUUACUAACAAAUGGGAAAACAAUUCAUGUUUUUACAGCUAACAACUUUGUAAUACCUACUCAGAGUACAUACUUCUUUAUGUACCCAUAUGAACAUACAAUGCUAUGGAAUGUAAAGAAGUAUGUAUUUUUGGUAGGCAAUAAACCGCCAAGAGGAAAAUAAACUGCAGCUAAAAGAAGCCCUUGCUUCUUUCCAUGUAAAUGACCUUCAUGUGGUAUAUUAACCUAGAAUCACAGAGAUGACCUUUGGGAAUAACAACAUCAUAAAAUGUACCUACUGCUUAUAGAUGAAAACUAAAUGUCACUAAGAUUUAUAUUUUAUAAAGAAAAAAGCUCUACUGAAAUAGAUUUAAAAUUAUCAUGAAACUCCUUUCAAAUCUUUUACAUUUAAAACAUAAUACAUUUUUAAACCUAGUACUCACAUGAUUAAUAUAUUUUUUUACAUGAUUAAUAUUUGAACACCAAAAAAAAAGUAUUACUAGCACAAAAGAACGAGAUAUACACAUGACCUAUUUUCUGUUUCCACAAUUUUAUCUUAAUUUAAGUAUAUCCCAUUAAUAGGGUUGAUUGAUUUAUUAAGAAAAGAUACAACAAAAGAUGAUUUCAUUUACAUUUUAACAGCUAUUCUUCAUAGUUUUAUAAAUUUAUAAUUAAAUGAUAUUAGAGAAUUUUUUGAAGCAAGUUUUUGCUUUAGGUUUUCUUUUUUGAAAACUAUAAACAUAGUCAUAAUUUUAAAAGAUUAUGUUUUAAGUAAAAUCAUACUCUCAAAGGAAAAAAGUUGUCCUUGUCUUUCUCAAGUUUAUCAUGUCUUUCUGCUAAGUCAGUACUGAGAAUAUAUUAAAAUGUAAGAUUUAUGCAAGAAAAAUGACAAAAUUCUGGGUCACAGCUGUAAGUCAACAGAGAACAUUGGUAACAGACUGCCAAAUAUUUUAAAGAAAUUAAUUUAUUAUCUGUAUUAUCCUUGAAUUUAUUUUAUCCAAAGGAGGCACUCAAACUAAAAACACUAUAGUCAAGAAACCAAUUCAUACAAAUAGAACAACCUUCUUUUAUUUUUUUAAAAUAUAUUUUUGUAGAUUUCAGAGAGAAAGGAGAGGGAGAGAGAGAUAGAAACAUCAAUGAUGAGAGAGAAUCAUUGAUUGGCCACCUCCUGCACACCUCCCACUGGGGAUUGAGCCCACAACCUAGGCAUGUGCCCUUGACCGGGAUCGAACCUGGGACCCUUUAGUCCACAGGCCAAUACUUUAUCCACUGAGCCAAACCAGGUAGGGCAGAACAACCUUCUUUUAAUGGUACUAUGCAAUUACAAGUCUAUUUUUAUAAACAUCAAAGACCCACUAUGUACUGUAUGUUAGAGAUAUAAAAAUACUUCCAUAUUUUAUACAAAAUUUAUUUUGUAUUAUAUUUAUAUAUUGAUAAAAAGUAUAAAUAAGCUCUUAAUUAAUAAGCAGUAUCUAUUUUAGCUACUAUAGUAGACUUACAUUAAAAAUAUUAAUAUUCUAAUCAUUUCUUAUUAGAAGUAUUAUUUCAACUGGCAUAUUUAGUCAUGUACAAAAAGCAUAAUAUUUUUAAAUUUCUGUGUCACAAAUUAGUAGAAUAGCUAUAAGGUGACUAUAAUUUUCUGUUUAAUAAGACAACUAGGUAGGUAGUUUUUAAAGUUGAUUUUCACUUUAUCAGAUUAGAAAAAAAAUGAGAGAAUGAAUCUAUUAGAUAUGAUGGCAUAUAAGUUAUUGCAUGUUUACUGAAAAUUAUAAAAAGCUCAUAAUUUUAAAGUCUGUAUUUCAAAGAAAAAAUAACUCAAAGCUUAACACUUAAGCAUAAACCUUCUUUCUGAUCAUCCACAAAAAGAAUAGCAAUGCUUCAUAUUCCAUUUAACUGUGCAUGCCCUAAAAUAUACACCUCAAAAGUAGAGGUUCCUAUAUAAAACUAUUCAAAGGGUAUUACUAUACCCAUGUUUUAUAAUAACGAGUUAUAUUCAUUAUUCUAUAGGUAUAAAAACCUUUAAUUAAUUUAAAUCAUCCCAGUAUCUAAGAAUCUUAUGAUUAUAAUAUUGAGUAUAAUCCUUAGAAAAUAAAAUGACAGCAUCUGUUAUUCAUUUUAAAAAGUAAAAUUAUAUACUGAUUCUGGUGUUACAAGUUUAACUUAACAUAUCUAAGAGUAUUUUCAAUCACUCUAAAAUGUCACAUUCAUCACUUAGGUCAGCUGUUCAUUUUUAACUGAGUACAUAUUAAACUCUGGGCAUCUGCUGACACUGGUGUAACUCAAACAUUUCAACUGUCUCUCUGACAGGGAUAACAGAUGCUGACAUUAUCAAAUGCUGUACUAUUUUUUUCCCAUGGCCUCUCCUUGCCCCGAUAUGGCCAGUAUAUGAAACUGAACUGCCAUCCAAAAGCACACUUGAGCAACUGGAUCUGCUAAACAGCUCCCAUAUAACUAGUAAAAAUAGAAGCCAGUUUUACUGCUAUCUUCAGCACUUAAGUCCAGGCAAUUUAGCACCUGUUUCACUUCUAUUAGAAUAAAAUAUGGGAAAAUUGUAGUUAUAUUAAUUUCAACACAGCAUGACACUUACUAACCAACAGAUGCAGAAUAUACUUAAUAUGACAAUUAUUUGAAUAUUGCCUGAAUUACUGACCUUCUCCCAGUUUAGUUCAGAACAGUAAUUAUUUCUUUCUCUUUAUAUUUCACCUAGAGCACUUACUUUUACAGGCAAACUAUAAUUUCUCAAACUUUUAUUUUAAUCAAGUAUAUUUCAGAAGACUUCCCUUCCUGAUAUUUAAAUGCAACAUUGAAGUUACAGUAUUAACAAAAAUUGCUGGACUGAGUUUUAAUGGUAGAUUUUAAUACUCAAAUUUAUGGAUUGUAGCCAACCACCACAAUUCAAUGUAUUAUUAUUAAACUGAUAAUGAGGAGUAACUAGGCAAUCUGUACAGAGAAUUCAGUCAAGGAAAUAGACUCUUAAAAAGGUUAAAUUACUAAUCUAUGAUUUGUAAUACUACAUAAGUAAAAAACAAAGAAAAAUAAGCUGGCAUGUAUGGUUCCUCUCAACACAAAUCCAAGUAAUACACUUGAAUACACAUGCAAUCUAUUUAUAAACCAAAAGGCAGAGGUACUUUCUUAAGGUCACUCAUAUUCUUUCAACCUUGGUCAGCAACUUGCUAUUAGUCCUCUGGUAUAAUACUAAAAAAAGCAGGGUGCCUUGGCUGGUGUGGCUCAGUUGGUUGGAGCAAUGUCCCAUACACCAGCAGGUCGCAGGUUCGAUUCCCAAUCAGGGUACAUACCUAGGUUUCGGGU